rnacentral:rRNA from 1 species
ACGCUCGACACCUACGGAGGCAGCAGUGGGGAAUAUUGCACAAUGGGGGAAACCCUGAUGCAGCGACGCCGCGUGAGUGAAGAAGUAUUUCGGUAUGUAAAGCUCUAUCAGCAGGGAAGAAGAUGACGGUACCUGAGUAAGGAGCCCCGGCUAACUACGUGCCAGUAGCCGCGGUAAUCUGAGCGGGCUGGCAAGGC